AGCUACUAAGAGCGAAUGGUGGAUGCCUUGACUGGUAAAGGCGAUGAAGGACGUACUAGACUGCGAUAAGCUACGGGGAGCUGUCAAGAAGCUUUGAUCCGUAGAUUUCCGAAUGGGGCAACCCAAUGUAUAGAGAUAUACAUUACCUAUAUAGGAGCGAACGAGGGGAAUUGAAACAUCUUAGUACUCUCAGGAAAAGAAAUCAAUAGAGAUUGCGUCAGUAGCGGCGAGCGAAAGCGCAAGAGGGCAAACCCAGUGCUUGCACUGGGGGUUGUAGGACUGCAAUGUGCAAGAGGUAAGUUUAGCAGAACAUUCUGGAAAGUAUAACCAUAGAGGGUGAUAGUCCCGUAUGCGAAAAACAAACCUUAGCUAGCAGUAUCCUGAGUAGGGCGGGACACGAGGAAUCCUGUCUGAAUCCGGGUCGACCACGAUCCAACCCUAAAUACUAAUACCAGAUCGAUAGUGCACAAGUACCGUGAGGGAAAGGUGAAAAGAACUGAGGUGAUCAGAGUGAAAUAGAACCUGAAACCAUUUGCUUACAAUCAUUCAGAGCCCUAUGUAGCAAUACAGGGUGAUGGACUGCCUUUUGCAUAAUGAGCCUGCGAGUUGUGGUGUCUGGCAAGGUUAAGCAAACGCGAAGCCGUAGCGAAAGCGAGUCUGAAUAGGGCGCUUAGUCAGAUGCUGCAGACCCGAAACGAAGUGAUCUAUCCAUGAGCAAGUUGAAGCUAGUGUAAGAACUAGUGGAGGACUGAACCCAUAGGCGUUGAAAAGCCCCGGGAUGACUUGUGGAUAGGGGUGAAAGGCCAAUCAAACUUCGUGAUAGCUGGUUCUCUCCGAAAUAUAUUUAGGUAUAGCGUUGUGUCGUAAUAUAAGGGGGUAGAGCACUGAAUGGGCUAGGGCAUACACCAAUGUACCAAACCCUAUCAAACUCCGAAUACCUUAUAUGUAAUCACAGCAGUCAGGCGGCGAGUGAUAAAAUCCGUCGUCAAGAGGGAAACAACCCAGACUACCAGCUAAGGUCCCUAAAUCUUACUUAAGUGGAAAACGAUGUGAAGUUACUUAAACAACCAGGAGGUUGGCUUAGAAGCAGCCAUCCUUUAAAGAAAGCGUAAUAGCUCACUGGUCUAGUGAUUUUGCGCGGAAAAUAUAACGGGGCUAAAGUAAGUACCGAAGCUGUAGACUUGCGCACAACUUAGAUUAUUUAAGUUUAGAAUAUGAGAAACUAAGUUAUGUUUAGUUAUAUUUUUACUGAUUUUUAUAGAGUAAAGAUAGAAAUAAAACUUAGUAAAAUCAGUAAAAAUAUUCUUAGGCUAAAGUUAAGUAGUUUAAGUUGUGUGCAAGUGGUAGGAGAGCGUUCUAUUUGCGUCGAAGGUAUACCGGUAAGGAGUGCUGGAGCGAAUAGAAGUGAGCAUGCAGGCAUGAGUAGCGAUAAUUAAUGUGAGAAUCAUUAACGCCGUAAACCCAAGGUUUCCUACGCGAUGCUCGUCAUCGUAGGGUUAGUCGGGUCCUAAGUCGAGUCCGAAAGGGGUAGACGAUGGCAAAUUGGUUAAUAUUCCAAUACCAACAUUAGUGUGCGAUGGAAGGACGCUUAGGGCUAAGGGGGCUAGCGGAUGGAAGUGCUAGUCUAAGGUCGUAGGAGGUUAUACAGGCAAAUCCGUAUAACAAUACUCCGAGAACUGAAAGGCUUUUUGAAGUCUUCGGAUGGAUAGAAGAACCCCUGAUGCCGUCGAGCCAAGAAAAGUUUCUAAGUUUAGCUAAUGUUGCCCGUACCGUAAACCGACACAGGUGGGUGGGAUGAGUAUUCUAAGGCGCGUGGAAGAACUCUCUUUAAGGAACUCUGCAAAAUAGCACCGUAUCUUCGGUAUAAGGUGUGGUUAGCUUUGUAUUAGGAUUUACUCCGAAAGCAAGGAAACUUACAACAAAGAGUCCCUCCCGACUGUUUACCAAAAACACAGCACUCUGCUAACUCGUAAGAGGAUGUAUAGGGUGUGACGCCUGCCCGGUGCUCGAAGGUUAAUUGAUGGGGUUAGCAUUAGCGAAGCUCUUGAUCGAAGCCCGAGUAAACGGCGGCCGUAACUAUAACGGUCCUAAGGUAGCGAAAUUCCUUGUCGGUUAAAUACCGACCUGCAUGAAUGGCGUAACGAGAUGGGAGCUGUCUCAAAGAGGGAUCCAGUGAAAUUGUAGUGGAGGUGAAAAUUCCUCCUACCCGCGGCAAGACGGAAAGACCCCGUGGACCUUUACUACAGCUUGACACUGCUACUUGGAUAAGAAUGUGCAGGAUAGGUGGGAGGCUUUGAGUAUAUGACGCCAGUUGUAUAUGAGCCAUUGUUGAGAUACCACUCUUUCUUAUUUGGGUAGCUUACCAGCUUGAGUUAUCCUC
rnacentral:rRNA from 1 species